GCAGCCCCAGUUGCCACUCACGCCUCUCCCUCCACACCUCCCUGCAAGCUGAGGGAGCCGGCUCCGGCCUUGGCCAGCCCAGAAAGGGGCUCCCACAGUGCAGCGGUGGGCUGAAGGGCUCCUCAAGUGCCCCCAAAGUGGGAGCCCAGGCAGAGGAGGCCCCGAGAGCGAGCAAGGGCUCUGAGGACUGCCAGCACGCUGUCACCUCUCAAAACCACCUCACUUGGUUGUAGGAGGUCAUUGAAGAUUGCCUGGAGGAAGCCAUGUUCAAUGGGCACAUUUGUAGAAUGAUGUGAGCCAGAGUAUGGGGUACUGAAGCAGAAAAGGAUGCCCUUCAAUUUGAUAGAAAAGCACUACAUGAAUCCCUGUGUCUCUGUGCAUCUGUUUAAGAAAUUUUUGCCUACACUGAAGUCACAAGAAUGCUCUCCAAUGUGUUCUUUAAAAAGUCUUAUAGCUUUACUUUUAACAUUUAGACCCGUGAUAAGUUUGGAAUUAUUUUGUGUUUACAGUGUUAGAUAGGGUUAUCUAACUAACACAAUCAUUUUUUGAAAAUAUUUCUGUACAUGACUUUACUCUUGCCUUUGUAAUAAAUCAUUUGAUUAUAUAGGUAUGAGUCUGCCUCUGGAAUCUAUUUUGUUCUAUUGGUCAGUGUCUAUUGUUUUAACUACUUCACAGACAUUAAGCACCUUUAUCCUCACAAUGACACAGAAAUAAUUAUUAUUAACCCCAUAUUAUAAUUAAGGAAACUGAGGCAGUGAGAUGUUAAGUAACUUGGCCAAAGUCACAUUGCUGAGGCAACAGCAAAUCCAGUCUUUUAAGCUCUGGUAGAAAAAAAUGCAACCUGAGCUAUGGGUUGAAAUGGGAAGAGAGUAGAUUGAAGAAAUGAUUGUGAGAAAAUAAAAACUCAAUAGCAAAAAAAAUUUACACACUAAUAGUUGUGAAGUAUAAAAUUAAAAUGGCAUAAAACUCAGUGUUCUUUCAACUUCAUCAAUCUGUAUUUCCAUCUCAAGAUAAACCUUAUCCUUAUCUUUUGAGACCUUAACUCACUCACCUAUAGCAUUUCUGUAGAGAAAUUAUAUACUUUAUAUGGUCACCCUUGAAGGAGAGGUCAAAUAAAAUACUGAAAAGUAACUGUAGAUAUUAG
rnacentral:lncRNA from 10 species